rnacentral:rRNA from 1 species
GGGGCUUUGACAUGGGCGAAAGCCUGAUCCAGCCAUGCCGCGUGUGUGAAGAAGGUCUUCGGAUUGUAAAGCACUUUAAGUUGGGAGGAAGGGCUGUAAAUUAAUACUCUGCUGUUUUGACGUUACCGACAGAAUAAGCACCGGCUAACUCUGUGCCAGCAGCCGCGGUAAU